GAUGAAGAACGCAGCGAAAUGCGAUACGUAAUGUGAAUUGCAGAAUUCAGUGAAUCAUCGAAUCUUUGAACGCAUAUUGCGCUCUCUGGUAUUCCGGAGAGCAUGCUUGUUUGAGUAUCAGUAAACACCUCAACUUCCAUAUCUUUUUUGAAAUGGGAGUUGGACUUGCGUGAUCCCAACGCUUUUCCUCACCGAAAAGUGGCGGGUUACUUGAAAUGCAGGUGCAGCUGGACUUUUCUCUGAGCUAUAAGCAUAUCUAUUUAGUCUGCCUAAAAAACAGAUUAUUACCUUUGCUGCAGCUAACAUAAAGGAGAUUAGUUCUUGUGCUGACUGAUGCAGGAUUCACAAAGACGGCUUCGGCCGACUUUGUAAACUCGAUCUCAAAUCAAGUAAGACUACCCGCUGAACUUAAGCAUAUCAAUAAGCGGAGGA
rnacentral:misc_RNA from 1 species